CAGCAGGUGGCACAGUUGCGUUUAUUUUGAGUAGGACCUGAAAUUUUCUGAAAAAUACUAGGUACCGGAAGACUUUCGGACUGUACCUGGUGGAGACCAAGCUUGGUGGGUGUAGCUGGGCUGAAGCCGGGGCCAUGUCCGUGAGCGUUUUCUGUGGAUAAAAGCUGCAAGCUGACAGUUGUGCCAGCCAGGCUGGCGAGCACACAGCUAGAUUUGAGCAAGAGUGCGGCUGAAAGCAGCUGCAGCAGGCAUGCGAUUUUUCCACCAGUGGCUAGGCAGAUGCCAGCUGGCUAGCGGUGAAUGAUCGCUCAGCUGUGGUGGAAAUUGCUGCCAGGAGCAGCAAAAUCUGCAGAGAGGCCCUCAGAAGAUUUAAACUCUCCAGUGCCAGCCAAUGAAGACCCGCCUGACAACAAUCCCUGGAAGCUCCAGAAAAGGAAUUGGGCCAUACCUCCUGGACUGCACUGGAUCCGACUUCAACUCCGUUUCAACUGACACUCCGACCAGAGCUCCGAGUACUGGCAUCAAUCAAGUUGAGCAUUUCAACCUAGAUCUUCAAUCAAGCAAAUCCCAUCUAACAUGGACUGGUGUUAACCCAUUAGAGACUUUCACUAUACUAACAUUUUCUUCCCACAGGACCCCACAAGGCUACCAUCGUCCCAUUUCAUCAGGAAGUAACUUGGAAGAUGCUAUGCCCCUGUUCCCCAUUACUGUCUAUUAGGGUGGUGUAAGCCUAGUUAAGAAUAACUUUCCUAUUGUUUAUGGUUGGGAUUGGAAGGAGGUGUUCAGGUUGGACACCCCUUUCAGAUGACUUUAGGGUUUAGCUAGAAUAGACAUAGUUAGGAUGUGCAAUAGCAGAUUAUUGUACCUUCUUGUAGUUCACCUUUAUGAUUGUUGAUUUUGGAUGUUUUACACUAUUAAGUUUUAAUCCUCUUUUAGACUAAAGGGGGAAUUGUAGGGAGACACUGUAACCACGCUUCCUAAGAGCUGGUUACAGGUAUGCUUAACCACGCCUGUCAGGGCAUGGUCAGGGUAGGUUCAGGAUGACUCGUGGGGAGUUCUUAAGGUGCGGCAGAGACGUGGGAGCUCUCUCUCUGGCCUCCCUAGCUUGCUGCCUCUGGGCAUGCUCUGGCUUGUGCUUGGCUGGUAUUACUUGAAUAAAGAUAUCUUAACCUGCACCCUCACAGAACAGGGUACAAUAGUCUGGGUUGGCAUCCAUGCACCUUUAGUGUUUGUAGGACAUCUAUCCAGGACCUUCUGGCUUUCAAAGUUUCCAUUGAGAAGUCAGGUGUGAUUCUGAAAGGUCUGCCUUUAUAUGUUACUUGACCUUUUUCCUUUGAUGCUCUUAAUAUUUUCUCUUUAUUCUGAAUGUUUGGUGUUUUGAUUAUUAUGGGGCGAGGGGAAUUCUUUUUGUGGUGCAGUCUAUUUGGUGUUCUGUAAGCUUCUUGUACUUUCAUAGGCAUAUCCUUCUGUAGGUUGGGGAAGUUUUCUUCUAUGAUUUUGUUGAAUAUGUUUUCUGUACCUUUGAGCAGUGUUUCUUCACCUUCUUCUACACCUAUUAUUCUUAGGUUUGGUCUUUUCACGGUGUCCCAUAUUUCCUGGAUAUUUUGUGUUAGGGAUUUGUUGGACUUGAGGUUUUCUUUGGUUGGUGAAUGUAUAUCCUCUAGCGAGUCUUCAAUAGCUGAGAUUCUCUCUUCUGUCUCUUGGAUUCUAUUGGUUAUACUCACAUCCUUAGAUCCUGAUUGUUUAUCCAGCCUUUGUAUUUCCAGCAUCCCCUCAUUCUGUAUUUUCUUUAUUGUUUCUCUUUCAGCUUUCAUGCCUUGAACUGUUUCCAGUGCUUCCUUCACUUGUUUGGCUGUUUUUCUUUAGAUUCUUUAUGAGAACUACUUAUUUCUUGAAUUUUUUGUUUGUUUUUUCUUUCUCCUAUUUCUUUAAGAGAUUUUCUUCUUUCCUGUUUAAUGGUCUCGAACAUCUCAUGAAGUAGAUUUUUAGAUCUGUCUCUUCUUCAUCUGUUUUGUGCUUUUCAGAUCUUGCUGGUAUGGAGUCCCUAGAUUCUGGUGGUGUCAUAUUGGUCUUUCUGUUGAGUGUGUUCUUAUUCGGCCUUCUUCCCUUCUGUUCUUCCAGUGUAUGCAGGUGGGGUCUCUCUAUCUCCUCUUGUCACUCGGUAGUGUGUGUGUGGGCCAAGACUACAAUGUCUGCAGAUAUGGAUGGUCUUGCCUCGCCUGGUAGUCUCCUCAUUCAGGAGAGUUUGGGGCGGCAAAGGGGGAAGGGAGAGUGAGGUAUUUCCAAACUCACCGAGGUCCUUCCUGUCUGGGCGGGUCCACUCUAUGCAGGGGGGACCACUCUCUGCAUCCACAGGCCCAGAGAGAUCCUCGGGUGAUGGGGACCUUGGGCAGUAGUAGGGCUCAGGAGAGGUCAGGGAGGUAUAGGGGGAAGGAAUCCGAAUUUCUAUGUGGUAUUAUCACAUUUUCUUGUAAAGAGUGAUCCUUAACAUUUCAUGUAAUGCAGGUAUCUGUUUAAAAUAAAUUCUCCCUGAUUUUGUAUGUCUUAAAAGUCCUUUAUUUUGCUUUUUCUUAUUAAAGUAAAUGUGGCACGACAUGAAAUCAUUUUAAGGUGAACAACUUUGUAGCAUUUUAGUGCAUUCAUAUAUGCGUUUGAUUGUCAAAGGAUGAGAUGCAGAUAGCAGAAGGAGAAUUUGGCCUUUGGUAGAUAGGAAGGUGGAGCCCUCUUCCACCAAGGCUUAUUUAUGCAAAGAUGUAGGAUUCACUGGGUUUAUCUGAAGAUGCAGCAUGGGGGAAGAAGCCUAUAGGUUUCAACAUUAGUGAUGAGAUAGGAGAUGAGAGCAUAUAUCAAAGCACAGAAGGUCAUUUGAGUCAUGGGGGAAACUUUGGUUUUAGCCUUGAUAGAAAUGGAAGGUAUUGAAAAGUUUUGAGCUGAAGGUUGGGACUUACUGAUUUCUUACUAUUGAUCCUAAAUGAGGUUCUCUUGAG
ensembl:lncRNA